rnacentral:rRNA from 1 species
AUUGAACGCUGGCGGCAUGCUUUACACAUGCAAGUCGAACGGUAACAGGCCGCAAGGUGCUGACGAGUGGCGAACGGGUGAGUAAUGCAUCGGAACGUGCCCAGUCGUGGGGGAUAACGCAGCGAAAGCUGUGCUAAUACCGCAUACGAUCUAUGGAUGAAAGCGGGGGACCGUAAGGCCUCGCGCGAUUGGAGCGGCCGAUGUCAGAUUAGCUAGUUGGUGGGGUAAAGGCCCACCAAGGCGACGAUCUGUAGCUGGUCUGAGAGGACGACCAGCCACACUGGGACUGAGACACGGCCCAGCCUCCUACGGGAGGCAGCAGUGGGGAAUUUUGGACAAUGGGCGCAAGCCUGAUCCAGCAAUGCCGCGUGCAGGAAGAAGGCCUUCGGGUUGUAAACUGCUUUUGUACGGAACGAAACGGCCUGGGUUAAUACCCUGGGCUAAUGACGGUACCGUAAGAAUAAGCACCGGCUAACUACGUGCCAGCCGCCGCAGUAAUAC